rnacentral:rRNA from 1 species
UACGGAGGGUGCGAGCGUUAAUCGGAAUUACUGGGCGUAAAGCGCAUGCAGGUGGUUGUUAAGUUCAGAUGUGAAAGCCCGGGGCUCAACCUCGGAAUAGCAUUUGAAACUGGCAGACUAGAGUACUGUAGAGGGGGAGAAUUUCAGGUGUAGCGGUGAAAUGCGUAGAGAUCUGAAGGAAUACCGGUGGCGAAGGCGGCCCCCUGGACAGAUACUGACACUCAGAUGCGAAAGCGUGGGGAGCAAACAGGAUUAGAUACCCGUGUAGUCC